UGGCUUUCUCUCCCUCUCCAUCUCAAUCACGGCCAAGGAGGUUGAAACCUCUAACUCCAUUUUCUCAUUCUCUUUGAUGAUGGUCGAGGGGCUAUAUGAUGGCAAGGGACAUGGCGGCGAAAGUCGCCUACUCGUAGUGGGUGAUGGGCAUGAGAACAACCAAGACGUAAGGAUUCGGUUCUGAAACCAUGUGUUGGUUGCUUCUGAUCCUUUACCUUUUAUGCUGGUAAUGUUCUUCAGUUAUUGAUAGAUUGUCAUCCCUUUUUGGUUGAUCAGUGUCUUCUUUUAUGAUGGUUGCCCUCCUUUUGAGUAUCCCCUGAAUGUUUGUAUAUGUAGUGUUAUAGAUGUACAUGUUCUGAUGCGUAGAUAGAUAGUUGAGGCGGGUUGUCUAUUUUGUGAGCAUGUGAUAGAUUUGUAGCCUCUUGAUUUCUCUUUUUGGAUUGUUGGUACUUGUGUUUGAGUAUGUGUAUGUUGUGCUCUUAUGUGUGUGAGAAGGUGUUCUUCAAUAUGUGUGUUGCUCCUGGAUUUGUUGCAGAUGGAUGUUUGAGAUAUUGUGUAUGAGAGAUUUUCCUUUUGGAUGGUUGUGCAUAUGAGAGGUGUUUAUCUCUAUUGUGUUUCUAAUUGUGUGGUGGAGUGAUAUCUAUUUCCCCCCCCCCUUUUUGUGUUAUAUAAGAAUAUAUGUGGGUAUGAUAUGUGUAUGCAGGUAUAUGGAUGUGGGUUAAUCUUGGAUU